AUUGAACGCUGGCGGCAUGCCUUACACAUGCAAGUCGAACGGCAGCACGGGAGCAAUCCUGGUGGCGAGUGGCGAACGGGUGAGUAAUAUAUCGGAACGUGCCCAGUCGUGGGGGAUAACGCAGCGAAAGCUGUGCUAAUACCGCAUACGAUCUAUGGAUGAAAGCGGGGGAUCGCAAGACCUCGCGCGAUUGGAGCGGCCGAUAUCAGAUUAGUUAGUUGGUGAGGUAAAGGCUCACCAAGGCGACGUUCUGUAGCUGGUCUGAGAGGACGACCAGCCACACUGGAACGGGUACACGGUCCAGACUCCUACCGGGGGCAGCAGUGGGGAAUUUUGGACAAUGGGCGAAAGCCUGAUCCAGCAAUGCCGCGUGCAGGAUGAAGGCCUUCGGGUUGUAAACUGCUUUUGUACGGAACGAAACGGUGAGCUCUAAUACAGUUUGCUAAUGACGGUACCGUAAGAAUAAGCACCGGCUAACUACGUGCCAGCCGCCGCCGUAA
rnacentral:rRNA from 1 species